AGCUUACCCCAGUAACACAUCCCCUUUAACAGAUCCACAUCUCCUGGUCCUUCCCAAACAGUUCUACUCCCCAAUGACCAAACAUUUAAAUAUAUGAGCCUAUGGGGGACCAUUCUCAUGCAAACGACCACAGCCAUGUUAUAGAAAUGGCUCACAUACACAUCAGCAGAUGAAUGGAUUUUUAAACUGUGGUUAAAAAAAAAAAUACACAAUUGAGUAUUGUUCAGCCGAAAAGAAGGAUAUAAUUUUGUCAUUUUUCAGGGGAAAUGAAAGAAAGCCAGAAAGACAAACAUUUAGUAUUAUGUCAGAUAUGAAGAGUACUGUUUUAUUUUUCUUCUUAGGCAUGAAAGUGAAAAUCCAGCUAACUGGGGCUUCCUGACGAUUUAGGCAUUCCCCAUGUUUCCCUUCAUUUGUUUAACAGGCAUGAACAAUCCAUCGCCAACAGUAGGGAAAGCCCCAGAAUCCAGGCAAUGGAUAUGAUCACAGAGUCAGUGAGGUUCAUAACUGUAAGGGACAAGUGGGAGACUCCUAGGAAGCACCAUUUUCAAGGUCCUCAUGGGUACAUCUGUACCUCAGACUAUGAGAAUCACAACUCUGCACCUAGUUGGGGGUGGAACGAACAUGUGUUAUAAGCUUUUGGAAUCCCCCAGUCCCAGCUGGUGAGCUCACCUCCCACAUCUGCCGGCUUCAUCUUCAGAUUCCACGUGGCUGGCUCAGAGCAAUAUGGGCUCCUCUCCUCCCAGACUCCAGAUCCGUAGAAAAAGGCACCAAUCGUUUUUCCAGUCAACUUGGGGCUCCUUCUGUUGGACAGCCCUACUCCCGUGUUAUCUGCAAGCCAAUCGAUUGGGGCUCCUUCUGAUUGGACAGCCCUACUCCCGUGUUACCUGUAAGCCAAUCGAUUGGGACUCCUUCUGAUUGGACAGCCCUACUCCCCUGUUAUCUGCAAGCCAAUCGAUUCAGCAUUCGAUGAAGAUAUUUGCAUGCAGCUUCAUCUGGAAGGGUAGGGUUGGAUGGACACAAUUCUCAGAUGAAACCUGCAACUGUUUUAAGGAAAGGAGAAAGGGGAAGCUAACAGAGCCUCUGUGGCUUCCACUACGGGGUGUGGUGGUUUGAAUGAGAAAGUCUCCCAUAGGCUCAAAUAAUUGAAUGUUUGGUCUCCAGUUAGUGGAACUGUUUUGGAAGGAUUAGGAGGUGUAGUAGUUUGCUGCGUCUCUGGAGCUGGGCUUAGAGGUUUCAAAAGACCAGGCCCACCCGGUUUCUUUCUCUCUCUCUGCAACUUAUGGAUCAAUGUGAGCUCUCAGCUACUGCUCCAGUGCAUGCCAGCCUGGCUGCCACCGUGCUCCCCACCAUGAUGACAAUGGGCUAACCCUCUAAAACUGUAAACAAACCCCUGAUUGAAUGCUUUCUUUUAGAAGUAGCUUUGGUCAUGGUGUCUCCUUUCAGCAAUUAAACAGUAACUAAGACACUGGGUGGUUUGGAAAAGUAUGAAAAGUGGAGUUUACUUUAAAAAAAGGCAACUUGACUGAACAAGCCAGUAAUCUCAGCUCCUUGGGAGGCUGAGGCAGGAGACUUGUAAGUUCAAGGCUUGCCUGGCUUAUGGAAGAAGUUUGACUCAAGCCUUGGCAAAUUAGGGAAGUCCUAUCUUAAACAAACAAACAAACAACAAACAAACAAACAACCAAACACCAUCCAUGAGACCUGCAUAAGAACCUGCAUAAGAUCAGUCCAGACAAAGUCCAGGCAUAAGUAGGGGAGAGAGUCACAAAGUCCUUCCCCUGGCUGAAGAACUAUUGGCAAUCUGUGGGUACUGGGCAUAGAGACUCAGAUUUCUUCAGGGAUUGGCCCCUGAAAGGCUAUCUGUGCUAUGGUAGAUGGUAAUACCUCUAUGUACACAUUAAGUGGAUACUGUGUGUCACACACACACACACACACACACACACACACACACACACACACGCCAGGUGUGGCAGUGUGUGACUUUAUCCCAACACUGUAGGUAGAGGCAGGCAGAUUUCUGUGAGUUGUAGGCCAGCCAGGAAUAAAUAGUGAGACCUUGCCUUAAAAGAAAGAAAGGAAAGAAGAAAGGCAGGAAGGAAGAAAUGGAGGGGGACGGAGGGAGAGAGAAGGGUGUUGAGGUAAUUAUUAAAAAAAUCUACCAUCCUGCGCUAGCCGGCUCCGGUGGGCCACAUGGCAUCUGCAGGGUAUUUUCAUCUCAACGGCGGCUGCUUCUAGGGCACCACGCCAUGCUACUCCCAGCUGCUCUGUGGCCUAGGCGGUCUCUCUGCCCCCAAUGCUAGCCGCCCUCUCCUGGCUAUCUCUCUGCCAGCCAGGAACUCUGGUCCCAGCUACCCAGUAAAAUCGGGACUCUAGAGGUUUGCAAUUCAACAGAUUUAUAUGUUAAAUCCACAAUACGUCCACACAAUAAACUCACAACCAACUGAUAAAGAUAUAAACCGCCCACCUAGACAAGAUAAAUUGACCUAUAGAAAUCCAUCCCUUAAAAACUAUUCAUAACAAACUGUGGCCAUUUGAGGCCACACAGAUCUGGGUUGUCCGUCUCUGUUUCCAUUUUGGUUCUACUUCUUCUCCUCUCUCCCCUUACCAAAGCUCUGUGCCCGCCCCACUUUCUCCCCGUCCAAUCAGAGGCCUCGGCUUAACUCGUGCCAGUCCUCACCUGCAUAUAGACAUCAACCUACAGAAAGGAAGGAAAGGAAAGAAAGUAAAUCCUUGUAAGUAAAUUCUCGAUUCCUUUUUAGGUGUUUCUCUAGAUCUCCGCCUCAUUGUAGAAUGGGUGAGUUAUGUGUAAAGUUCUGAUGUCUUCAAUGACGUGAUACCAAAUUGUCUUCUCUCAUUAUCCACAGCAUUCUUCAUGGCCUCAAAAAACAGUGUUAGAUUUUUUCAGUUAUUUUCCAAUGGAAUGAGGUAAAGCAGUUUUGAAUUCUCAUAAUUUGUGUUUUCCUGAUAACAAGGAUCGUUGAAUGACCUACUAAUCCUGCAACGUGUUUAGCUACUGUAUCCUAGGUGUUUGUGGCUGUAGUUUCCCUCCCAUGUGCUCCUGGCUGGUUGGUGCCGGCAGCCAUGUCGAGGGACUCUGCAUGGUCAAAUACCAUAUUUUGUUUGUGGGUGAUGGGAACUGAACUCUGGCCCUCUGGAGGGUAGUAUGCACUUUUAACUAGUCUGCACCCCAGAGUCUUCUUUAAAGCCUUUUGAUAACUGAAAAGCAGAUGCUCCAGGAAAACCAGCAGUAUUUGCUGUAACAACGACCUUGGGCCUCACUCCUUAACCCCUGCAUUGCCUGAGAAUCUCAAACAGAAGGUUAACUUUGCUGGCAGUGAGCCUAUCGUAGCUUCCUGCGUCCUGGGGGAUCUUAUCAACUGAAAUCCUGGCAAGUACUCCUCAGAACCACCCAGUCACCUCAUCAGGUUUCUUAGCAACCCUUUGAAGGUAGCAACUUCAAAACUCACUAAAAUGGUGCCUGUGACCACAGCCAAGAGGAUGGAGUGGACUCUACACAGAAAAUCCUCCAUCUAUCGUUUUGAGGAAGUCUUGCUUCUUAAGCAUCUCUCUUUGUCUGUAUCAAAAUGCCCUUAUUAAUCCCUAGCUCUUUGCAUAAACCAACUUGUCUAGAAAUUCUUUUUAUGGGUCAAAACCAAAUCCAGGUUUUGCUUGAGUUGAGGUCUCAAAAAGUCUAGGGGAACCCUCCAGUCUGCUGAGGUCAUCAGUGGGAUCUGUCCUUCCCCUUCUGCCCAUCCCGUUCCCGCUCUCCCCGCUUAAAAAACAAGAAAGAAAACAGACUCCUUUUUGGAAUGGACAAGAAUAAUGGUUUCAGGGCAGAAGUUCAAAG